rnacentral:rRNA from 1 species
GGGUUGUGAGGUUAAGCGACUAAGCGUACACGGUGGAUGCCCUGGCAGUCAGAGGCGAUGAAGGACGUGCUAAUCUGCGAUAAGCGUCGGUAAGGUGAUAUGAACCGUUAUAACCGGCGAUUUCCGAAUGGGGAAACCCAGUGUGAUUCGUCACACUAUCAUUAACUGAAUCCAUAGGUUAAUGAGGCGAACCGGGGGAACUGAAACAUCUAAGUACCCCGAGGAAAAGAAAUCAACCGAGAUUCCCCCAGUAGCGGCGAGCGAACGGGGAGCAGCCCAGAGCCUGAAUCAGUGUGUGUGUUAGUGGAAGCGUCUGGAAAGGCGCGCGAUACAGGGUGACAGCCCCGUACACAAAAAUGCACAUAUUGUG